rnacentral:rRNA from 1 species
AUUGAACGCUGGCGGCAUGCCUUACACAUGCAAGUCGAACGGCAGCGGGCCUUCGGGUGCCGGCGAGUGGCGAACGGGUGAGUAAUGCAUCGGAACGUGCCAUUGAGUGGGGGAUAACGUAGCGAAAGUUACGCUAAUACCGCAUAUUCUGUGAGCAGGAAAGCAGGGGAUCGCAAGACCUUGCGCUCUGGGAGCGGCCGAUGUCGGAUUAGCUAGUUGGUGGGGUAAAGGCCUACCAAGGCGACGAUCCGUAGCGGGUCUGAGAGGAUGAUCCGCCACACUGGGACUGAGACACGGCCCAGACUCCUACGGGAGGCAGCAGUGGGGAAUUUUGGACAAUGGGCGGAAGCCUGAUCCAGCCAUGCCGCGUGAGUGAAGAAGGCCUGGUGUAAGCUCUUCGUCGGGAGAAUAGCACGGGUUAAGUACCCUGUGUAGAUGACGGUACCGGAAGUAAGAAG